rnacentral:snRNA from 1 species
AUAUGGUCAGCACAUAUACUAAAAUUGGAACAAUACAGAGAAGAUCAGCAUGGCCCCUGCACAAGGAUGACAUGCAAAUUCAUGAAGUGUUCCAUAUUUUU